GGCACCUUGAGACCUCACACAAUUCCCCAAUCUUUGUUGAUUGCAGCCCGUACAUAUUCAACACUCUCAGGUGUUC